rnacentral:rRNA from 1 species
AUUGAACGCUGGCGGCAGGCCUAACACAUGCAAGUCGAGCGAGCGGCGGACGGGUGAGUAAUGUAUGGGGACUGCCCGAUAGAGGGGGAUAACUACUGGAAACGGUAGCUAAUACCGCAUACUAUCGGAUAACCCAUAUGGGAUUAGCUAGUAGGUGAGGUAAUGGCUCACCUAGGCGACGGGCCCUAGCUGGUCUGAGAGGAUGAUCAGCCCUGCUGGGACUGAGGCACGGCCCAGACUCCUACGGGGUGAGCAGUGGGGAAUAUUGCACAAUGGGGGCAAGCCUGAUGCAGCCAUGCCGGGUUUAUGUAGAGGGCCCUAGGGUUGUAAAGUACUUUCAGUCGAGAGGCGUUACCGACAGAAGAAGCACCGGCUAACUCCGUGCCAGCCGCCGCGGUAAUA